ACACUCUAACAUCAGGCCAGUAUCCAUCUAUAUGGUGCAGGGUCCAGGUCCACCAUGACAUCUCUACUCCACAGGGUUCAGGCCCACCAUGAGAUCUCUACUCCACAGGGUUCAGGCCCACCAUGAGGUCUCUACUCCACAGGGUCCAGGUCUACUCCACAGGGUUCAGGCCCACCAUGAGGUCUCUACUCCACAGGGUCCAGGCCCACCAUGAGGUCUCUACUCCACAGGGUCCAGGCCCACCAUGAGGUCUCUACUCCACAGGGUCCAGGCCCACCAUGACAUCUCUACUCCACAGGGUCCAGGCCCACCAUGAGGUCUCUACUCCACAGGGUUCAGGCCCACCAUGAGGUCUCUACUCCACAGGGUUCAGGUCUCUACUCCAAAGGGUUCAGGCCCACCUGAGGUCUCUACUCCACAGGGUCCAGGUCUACUCCACAGGGUCCAGACCCACCAUGAGGUCUCUACUCCACAGGGUCCAGGUCUACUCCACAGGGUCCAGGCCCACCAUGAGGUCUCUACUCCACAGGGUCCAGGCCCACCAUGAGGUCUCUACUCCACAGGGUCCAGGCCCACCAUGAGGUCUCUACUCCACAGGGUCCAGGCCCACCAUGAGGUCUCUACUCCACAGGGUCCAGGCCCACCAUGAGGUCUCUACUCCACAGGGUCCAGGCCCACCAUGAGGUCUCUACUCCACAGGGUCCAGGCCCACCAUGAGGUCUCUACUCCACAGGGUCCAGGCCCACCAUGAGGUCUCUACUCCACAGGGUCCAGGCCCACCAUGAGGUCUCUACUCCACAGGGUCCAGGCCCACCAUGAGGUCUCUACUCCACAGGGUCCAGGCCCACCAUGAGGUCUCUACUCCACAGGGUCCAGGCCCACCAUGAGGUCUCUACUCCACAGGGUCCAGGCCCACCAUGAGGUCUCUACUCCACAGGGUCCAGGCCCACCAUGAGGUCUCUACUCCACAGGGUCCAGGCCCACCAUGAGGUCUCUACUCCACAGGGUCCAGGCCCACCAUGAGGUCUCUACUCCAUAGGGUCCAGGCCCACCAUGACAUCUCUACUCCACAGGGUUCAGGCCCACCAUGACAUCUCUACUCCACAGGGUUCAGGCCCACCAUGAGGUCUCUACUCCACAGGGUUCAGGCCCACCAUGAGGUCUCUACUCCACAGGGUCCAGGCCCACCAUGAGGUCUCUACUCCACAGGGUUCAGGCCCACCAUGGGGUCUCUACUAUCUCUACGAAUCUAUACCACUAUAAACAGUUAUAGUCUGUUUUAUGUGUGGCCAUAUUAUACAGUCUACCCACGCCAGGAGUGCUUGAGAAACCAGCACAGAGAAACUCUAUUUCUUCAAGCCUCUUGACAUUGUGAUACUCCCCAAUACUACCGUAGGUAGUAACCCCUGAUCUACAGUGCCCGUUAAUACCCAAAAUUAUCACAACUACAGUGCUCU